rnacentral:rRNA from 1 species
AUGGAUUCCAUCUUGGUGAAUGAAACUUGGGAGAUAAUUGAUCGUCCUUAUGGGUGCAAACCUAUAGGAUGCAAAUGGGUAUUCAAGAAGAAGCUUAGGCCUGAUGGCUUUGUUGUGAACGAAGCUGACAAAUGUGUGUACUAUCGCCAUGGUGGGGGCGAGGGAGUUAUGCUUUGCUUGUAUGUUGAUGACAUACUGAUUUUCGGAACAAAUCUGAAUAUUAUUAAGGAGGUCAAGGAUUUCCUAUCUCGCCGUUUUGAGAUGAAGGAUUUAGGAGUGGCUGAUGUCAUUCUGAACAUCAAGUUGUUGAGAGAUGAUGAUGGUGGGAUUACAUUGCUUCAAUCUCACUAUGUGGAAAAGAUCUCGAGUCGCUUUGGCUAUAGUGACGGCACCGCGAAUUAUGGAAUUCACUACACUGGGCACCCAAAGGUGCUUGAAGGGUAUAGUGACUCAAACUGGAUCUUAGAUGCUGAUGAGAUAAAGGCCACGAGCGGAUAUGUAUUCACUCAUGGAGGUGGCGCUGUUUCUUGGAAGUCUUGCAAGCAGACCAUCUUAACAAGGUCAACAAUGGAAGCAGAACUCACAUCACUAGAUACAGCUACGAUCGAAGCAGAUUGGCUUCGCCGACUCUUGAAUGACUUGCCGGUUGUUGAGAAACCUGUACCGGGUAUCCUUAUGAACUGCGACAAUCAAACUAUGAUCACGAAAGUGAACAGCUCUAAGGAUAACAUGAAG